rnacentral:sRNA from 1 species
GUCGUGAGAUGUUGGGUUAAGUCCCGCAACGAGCGCAACCCCUGUCCUAUGUUGCCAGCGGGUAAUGCCGGGGACUCAUGGGAGACCGCCGGUGCCAAACCGGAGGAAGGUGGGGAUGAAGUCAAGUCAGCAUGCCCCUUACGUCCAGGGCUGCACACGCGCUACAAUGGCCGGUACAAAGGGUUGCAAACUCGCGAGGGUGAGCUAAUCCCAAAAAACCGGUCUCAGUUCGGAUUGCAGUCUGCAACUCGACUGCAUGAAGUCGGAGUCGCUAGUAAUCGCAGAUCAGCACGCUGCGGUGAAUACGUUCCCGGGCCUUGUACACACCGCCCGUCACACCACGAAAGUCGGCAACACCCGAAGCCGGUGGCCCAACCCUUUUGGGAGGGAGCCGUCGAAGGUGGGGUUGGCGAUUGGGGUGAAGUCGUAACAAGGUAGCCGUACCGGAAGGUGCGGCUGGAUCACCUCCUUUCUAAGGAACCUCACUGCCCGGUCCGGAACACUUCGUUUUCGGGUCGCCGGGGAGUUCCUACGUCGAGCACUGGCCUAUGUGUUGUUCACGAAACCCCUCGACCCUGGUGUACCAGCCAGCUGACUCAGCCCCUCGGGGCGAGAUCAUCAGCCGGGCCGUCACCGGCACCACCGAGACUUCGUGUCGGCCGGUUUUCACUGCUCUGUUUUGAGGAAGCGGCACACCGCUGCUAUCUCUCACGGCAGAUCGGGUGAAUCGUUGCGUCGAGCUCUGCUCCGCACCGCUUCAUACCGCCGCCGCGGGACGCGUUGCGUCUCGGCUGAGCCUUUGAGAACUGCAUAGCGAGCACGAGCGUCUUGUAACACGUUGUGGUCCUCAGUAUUCGAUCGGCUUUCCUGCUUAUCGAAUGCGCGAGGACUGUGCGAUUUCAAGCUAUGAAGAGCCAACGGUGGAUGCCUUGGCGCCAGAUGCCGAUGAAGGACGUGGGUGGCUGCGAAAAGCCACGGGGAGCUGUCUACCAAGCUUUGAUCCGUGGAUAU